GGAUCCUCCUCCCUAGUGGUCACCAGCAGAGUGCCACAUCUUCCCGACCCCAUCUCAUUUUUGUGUGCGGUUCGGCGGUGCAUAGAUGUACAGUGCGGUGGCGCUGACAAAAAACGACGAGGAGGACGAUGGUGUGUGCCUUGUGGUUCGCAGGAUCUGGUGACCACCAUCUUGCCAAGAUCCCUCUGCCGCCCCUCCUACUCCUCUGCCCUUCCCUUUCCUCCCUCCCAGGCCGUGCGCCCCUUGCCGUCGUCGAGGUCAAUGAUCGAUGUUGUGGCCACCACACUGCAGCUUGGUUCGGUAUGUGCCACUGUCCUCCGGCGAGUGCGCAUGCAGUGCACUUUAGAGUUCGGCUAGCGCCGGCAUGAGGUUCACUUCUACAUGGUAGCUUGGAUGCCUUGGCGUUGCACGUCGGCAUUUGAUGUGGUGUCGUGCGGGUGUGUGCGGCCUGCAGCUCGGAGCAAGCAGGCAUGCAGUUUAGACCGUUGUUUGUGGAUUUUAUUUGUCUAUCAAAUGUACCCGGUUGGGAUAUGAUGUAUUGUGUGUAAAAACUAUUUGUUGAGAAGUUUAUUUCAACAAGCACUAAAAUAGUUCAUUUUUGAGAAAAAAAAUGUGUUGAUGCAACCCAGUUCGAGGAGUCUUGUGGUUCAUUGCAUUCAACGAGGAGACUUGUUGUCUCGUGCA